CACUUACCUGAUGGUUUAUUGAUGCACAGUUGUUUUAUUUUGCACUCACACUAAGAACCAUAUCUAUUUUUUCUGACUGGCAGAUUGACUACUCUUGACUCUUGAGCUUGACAGAACUGUCAAAAUGUUUCUUAUUAAGAACCACAGAAUGGGUGAGGUUGGAAGGGACCUCUGGAGGUCAUCUGGUCCAGCCCCCCUGCUCAAGGAGGACCACCUAGAGACGGUUGCCCAGGACCGUGUUGUCUUUUGAGUAUCUCCAAGGAUGGAGACUCCACAGCCUCCGCGGGCAAUGCUGGGUCACCCUCACGGUGAAAAAGUGUUUCCUGAUGUUCAGACAGAACCUCCUGUGUUUCAGUUUGUGCCCAUUGCCUCUCAUGGUAUUCAUGUUGAUUGUUGUAUUAAAAAUCGCUGCAGCUUUAGACAUUCGCAGUUCCUACAUCAACACCUGUGGUGCACCUGAAACACUUCGUGUGGGGAAAAAAGGAAUGCUAAUAUAUCAACUUUGAGCCUCUUUAGUACUUUCCAAAACUUGUGUGAUAGGACAGCCCAUCUCUUUGUUGCUGGUGGCCGCUGAUGAUGUGGUGGCUGUUGUGGGGCAUUUAUGUCAACAAAACAAGCAGUUCUACUUCUUUCAGGGAGUUACCUGUUGUUACUGAAGAUCUGCAGUUGUCAUUUCCUGUCUGCAAAAGUCACUAGCAAUCGGAAGAUUAUACAACAAAGUCCCAGUUCUGGAAAAGUAAGAAUGGUUGUACUGAGAUGAAUUACGACUGGAAAAAAUUGGGGGGUUUUACCCACUAAUUCAAGGACUUGAGUUAACAGGCAGUGAGGAAAGCAAUGAAUGCUGCUGUGACACUCUUCCUUUUUAUAUGAAUAAGGUUUUUUGAAGCUAAUACACUGUAUUUAAUUCCAGAUAUUCUGUUUCAACUUGAUAUUUAAUAAGCUUUGUAAUCUAGUAUACGUCUGUCUUUGUUUUAUUGUACCCCUUCUUGACUUUGCUUUCCACCCCCUUCCCUGCCCAUAUAACUCCCCAGAUCUCUCUUCUGCUCACUUCAGCUUUGUUCACAGCUGCAUCUUCAUCCUGUCCUGGAGGCCAGGCAAAUGGCCAGCAUGCGUCUGUGUCCUUUUCCUCUGGGGAGGCUUGAAGCACACUUCUGUUAAGAUUGCGGACUAGAGUUGAGGUCUUGCUAAUAAUCAGUUCCCAGACUCUUCCUGUAUUUUAGAGCAGUCCUCCUUGUGGUCUGGGCAGAAGGUAGCGGGUGAGCUUCUGGUAGACUCAGAAUAACAGAUGUGUUAGAUCAACUGUGUGGAUGAACCAAACCCAACCAUACCCAACCAUAGCUCUGACCCAACAAAGCACUGUAGCUCAAAUAAUUUCGGUAACAUCACUGCAAUCACUGAUACACUUUAUAUUGAACCUGUAUGUAGUCUUCAUGAGAUUGGAUUCUGAACAUCGAUAGACUGGGAAGAAAAUGAAUGAGACAGAGGCAAUGAAACCAUUCUUCUAUUGCUUCUUGGUAUGAGAACAGGAGAGGCCUCAAGGCAGUAAAGAGCUUUUUGUCAUGAAUUUCAUUUGGGAAGGCUCAGGGGGGAAUCUUUAUCAAUCGGGGGGAGUGGGCAGUAAAGAAGAACAGCAGCCUUUUAGCAUCCCGUCACAGGCUGAGAGGCAGUGGCCACAAACUGAAAUCUGAAAUACAGGAAAUUCUAUUUAAACAUAAGAAAAAACAUUUUUAGUAGCAGGUAUACACUCAUAGGGCGUGAUUUUUAAAAAAUGUUGAGAAUAACCACAUUAGUAGGAAUGCUACUCUCUAUUCCUUUGGGAAUUGAAAUCAAUUCUCAAGGCAUUACAGUCCUACUUUUAGCAGACAUUUCUCACUUUCUUAUGGUUUAUAAUUUGUAAGUAGUUUAAUUAAAAGAAGAAAGACAAAAGUUUUAUUGUGCUUUGUUAUCAACUAAAAUGUAACUAAACCUAAUAAAUCCAAUUAUGAUCUA